rnacentral:rRNA from 3 species
UUAAAUUGAAGAGUUUGAUCAUGGCUCAGAUUGAA